rfam:Rozella allomycis CSF55 unplaced genomic scaffold scaffold_1571, whole genome shotgun sequence.
AAUUCGGCUUUUUUAAAAGCCAUCCCUUUUAAAGAUAUCUACAAUA